rnacentral:rRNA from 1 species
AUACGGAGGGUGCAAGCGUUAUUCGGAAUCACUGGGCGUAAAGGACGCGUAGGCGGGUUGGCAAGUCAGAUGUGAAAUCCUACAGCUUAACUGUAGAACUGCAUUUGAAACUGCUAACCUAGAGUAUGGGAGGGGGAGAUGGAAUUAGUGGUGUAGGGGUAAAAUCCGUAGAUAUCACUAGGAAUACCGAAAGCGAAGGCGAUCUCCUGGAACAUAACUGACGCUGAGGCGCGAAAGCGUGGGGAGCAAACAGGAUUAGAAACCCCAGUAGUCC